ACGAACGCUGGCGGCGUGCUUAACACAUGCAAGUCGAACGGUGAAGCGCCUUCCUUUUUGGUGGGUGUGGAUGAGUGGCGAACGGGUGAGUAACACGUGAGUAACCUGCCCCCUUCUUCUGGAUAACCGCAUGAAAGUGUGGCUAAUACGGGAUAUUCUGGGUCUGUCGCAUGAUGGGUCUGGGAAAGAUAUUGUUUCGGUGGGGGAUGGGCUCGCGGCCUAUCAGCUUGUUGGUGGGGUGAUGGCCUACCAAGGCGGUGACGGGUAGCCGGCCUGAGAGGGUGGACGGUCACACUGGGACUGAGACACGACCCAGACUCCUACGGGAGGCAGCAGUGGGGAAUAUUGCACAAUGGGCGCAAGCCUGAUGCAGCGACGCCGCGUGAGGGAUGGAGGCCUUCGGGUUGUGAACCUCUUUCGCCAGUGAAGCAGGCCUGCCUCGUUUGUGGGUGGGUUGACGGUAGCUGGAUAAGAAGCGCCGGCUAACUACGU
rnacentral:rRNA from 1 species